UGUUUUGCCUAAAAUGAAUGUGCAAGCCACCUUGUCACCAAAGUUCUACAAUGAGGAGAUAUGUCAUAUACUUCAGACCACCUUUUGAAUUACCCAGAUUGAGGCAAGAGCUCUGAAACAGCAACUUCAGCUGGACCAAACUUUAUUAUCAGCGUGACCCGUUAAACAUACGGGAUACUUCCAAGUGUGAGUGACAAAGCUGCCAAAAUGGUGAUGAAUAUUUCCUUCAAAGCUGAUAAAACAAUCUCUCCAUAUCGUCAUCCAACAAAGAACUGAACACUUCGAAUGCAAUUUGUAUUAUGUAGAGUUUUAUUUGUUUCAAUUUACAAUGAAUUGAGUUUUUCAGAUGGAAAAUGAAAGCAAGAAUUGAUUUAUUAUGAGAGCACCACUCUGGGGAAGGGAAGGAAAAGAGUUUCACCCAAUCUUUGGUCUUUGCUGCAUGUUCCUGGGACAAUGACAGUUCUUGCUUCACAUGUUACUGAGCAGAUCCAUGCUGUAGAGUAAGAGUGACAGGGAUAGAUUCCUGAAGGGUGAGAUCCCAGGAGAUCAGUGCAGGUAAAGAAUGAUAUGUGUUAUAAUCUAAUGUUAGCCAACAACUCCUCUUGCUCUACUUGGUAUUGUUUGCAAUUUAAUAGUCCUCCUUUGCUUUCCCCCCUCCUUGUUUGCCACUUAGUAUUCUUAUUCUUAAGUUUCCAUUUUAAGCUUCCAUAUUUCCUAUGUGUUGUACUAUUCUUCCUAUAUGAUACUAUGCCCUCCUCCAUUCUGAGAUUCCUGAGGGGCAUACCAAUAAAAAAUUCAAGUUUAGAAUGUU